rnacentral:lncRNA from 1 species
CAGAAGCCAGACCCUUUGACCUCUUCUCAAGCAGUGCCAACAGAACUUGGGGAAAAGUAUAUUCAAUAACAUUUGCGAGAAAUAAGUUAGGAGGUUCCUUUUCAGAAUUAUGGAAGCAAGGAAGAUGGCAACACCAAUGUAGCAGGGGAUGAAGAGGAAGGCGUGUCAAAAUUGUUUGAGAGAAGAAGACAGAGCCUGUCCUUGGCCUCAUCUACAAAGCAACAGGUUGGGAGGCAACUCUCUUCAAUGUAGGGAAAAGGGAUUUCCAAGAAAUUGAAAACCUGAAGAAGUAAUUUAAUUUCUCUGACUUCAUAGGGCAAAACCACAGGCUCUGAGAGAUACACUGUGAGAGGAACUCUGGCGUCCAUGCAAGAAAUGUGGUGGUUGUUAUCUAGAGGCAAAUGAUGGUGUUGGGAGAUUCUACCACUGAAAUGAUGGAGACGGUGGCCUUCCACAAAGGUUCAUGGACAGAAAAUAAUGAGGCAGCUACAUAAUAUAAAAACUAAGAAAUGCUAUCCAUUGUAGUUUCUGCAAGCUUGUACCAGUUUUGAGUUAUGAAGGUGAGUAGAAUAAUUUCAACAGAUUUAAAACUUCUCAAGGAAGCAGAAACAACAACAAAAACAACAACAACAACAGCAACCAUCCUUACUGUAUUUUAACAUAGCAGUCACCUCAAUCUUUUCUCUAGCCUCUUAUUUUUCCUAUGGGAUUCUUUGUGUCUUUUUGGAGUGAACAUUUCAUGUUGGAAUGCUUCCCUGGGGAGGUAUCGAU